GAAGUUGGAAUCGCUAGUAACCGUAAAUCAGCUACGUUACGGUGAAUAUGUUCCUGGGUCUUGUACUCACCGCCCGUCAAGUCAUGAAAGGCAGGGGCACCCGAAGGACCGUUACUCUUACGAGGCGGUACCACGGUGAAACUGCUGAUUGGGACUAAGUCGUAACAAGGUAUCCGUAGGAGAACCUGCGGAUGGAACACUUCCUUACCAGGGA
rnacentral:rRNA from 1 species